ensembl:ncRNA F12F6.19 ncRNA
CGAAGACGGGACAACGAAAUUGACGGAUCAAUUUUGAGGAUGAUUUAUGAAAUGGGUGGCCGUGGCUGCAGAAAGAGCUCUGAAGUGCACGGAAGGAGGCAUUACUAUUGUCUGGGACGCCAGGUCGAUUCGAAUCGAACAAAG